CUCAAACUCCCAAACUGUUCCUCAUCUCUCUCGCCUCCGCGUGUUCCCCUCAUCCUUCUCUUCCUCAUUAUCGGCCGGAGAGGAGGAGGAAGAGCGUGGCGGCGGUCGCCUGUGUUGGUUCAGCGGCGGGGUUGAGGCAGCCAAGAGCCAUGGUCGCUGGCGGCCUGGAGCUGUAGGAGAGAUCGACUAGGUCCCAUGCCCUACUGCAUUCCUCUCAUGCCAUACUGCUGCACUCCUACACGCCUCUGUCGCCGGCUGCCUCGACGGCAGGAGGCCCUCACCAUCAGGUCUUCUUGAUGGAAGCAGGGGCAUCGCCCGCGCGCUUCUUCAGGACUUACGGCAUCUGCAGAUCUGCCCGUGCAUCAGCGCCCAUCAUGUCCUCGGUUCCAUAGCAAGCGGCAGUCGCACCAUCUGGUUGUUCGUCUGCGGCGAACAAGAUGCAGGCAGUGCCGCCCGCGUCCAUGGCCAAAAAGGAAGUACGCGGCUGUUGAAGUUCUGCCUUUUCCUCUACUCUCUCUCUCUCCCUUCUUUGACCCCUCUGUUUCUCUUUUUUCAGCAAUGACCAACACUAAGACCAGAGGAUGCAACCCUUGAAAGAGCGAGCCGAAGGGCGGGGCCAAACCUCCACCAUGGACACGUCCAUCUCAGCUCUCUUUCUCUCUCAGCUGGCGACAACGACAGCACAAAGAUUGGUGCACAUGUGGAGCUCGACCUUAGUACCCAUCUGCGAGAAGAGCUAACGAAGGUAUGACAACGGUGCCGCUGUUUCUCUUUUUUCAGCAAUGACCAGCACUAAGACCAGAGGAUGCAACCCUUGAAAGAGCGAGCCGAAGGGCGGGGCCAAACCUCCACCAUGGACACGUCCAUCUCAGCUCUCUUUCUCUCUCAGCUGGCGACAACGACAGCACAAAGAUUGGUGCACAUGUGGAGCUCGACCUUAGUACCCAUCUGCGAGAAGAGCUAACGAAGGUAUGACAACGGUGGCGCCAAACACUUGACAAGUGCGGCUCCAGUUUGCCAGCGACGGCACCAUCAACAUCGAAGGCAUUCUCAAGUCACUGUGGCUACUCGGUUACCUAUCUGAUGUUUCCAUAUUUCCUACACGACAAAAUUAGACUACAUACAUAAGUCGAAAAAGAUAUCCAGUAUAUACACAUGUUCUAAAAUCUCCUGCCACAAAUUUAAAUUAAUUUCAUGGGUUAGCAUGAAAGGUAUCCAUGUGAGAUUUGUUUUUGCUGCUACCCAAUUUUGCUUCAGAAAAGCCAACUCCCAUAUUUUGGUCUGCCUGCUUAUGUCUUGCAUCAAGCUGGACUUUGGACAUGGGGUUAGAUGGAUUAGCAAUUAACUUCAAGCUAUAGCUAGGGAAAAGUUUCUUGGUUGUACAAUCAGAUUACAUGAUAUGCAAAUAAACAGUAUGGUGCACUUACUACGAGACGUUUAGAAUAUAUGGACUUCAGUUAUGGUUCUAUUAUUUAUUUAUGCAGACCCUACCUUUCAUAAAUUGCAUGGAAAAAUUUGUAUGGAGGGUGGCCGUGUGGUGUUCUUCACAGACAGAAUUACUUAAGUUGUUCAUUGAGCUGAAAUGGCAUUGUUUAUGUAACUAAGCUGGCAUCACAUAGUGAUACAUGAGAGAAUGUACAUGGUAAACAUAAGCUAUACAUCCUCCUAUAAUGCAAGAAUUAUUCUCUGGCGGUCGUGCUCAGGACAUGCUUCAAUGGUUUUAUGCAAUUUAAGGUGUUCUAUCCAGUAUUGAGAGAGAGGGAGGGAGG